GAUGAAGAACGUAGCGAAAUGCGAUAAGUAGUGUGAAUUGCAGAAUUCAGUGAAUCACCGAAUCUUUGAACGCACAUUGCGCCCCUUGGUAUUCCAUGGGGCAUGCCUGUUCGAGCGUCAUUUGUACCUUCAAGCUCUGCUUGGUGUUGGGUGAUUGUCUAUCUUUAUAGACUCGCCUUAAAGUCAUUGGCAGCCGGCAUAUUGGCCUGGGAGCGCAGCACAAGUCGCGCUUCUUGUCAUGAAUGUUGGCGUCCAGUAAGUCUACAUAUUUUGCUCUUGACCUCGGAUCAGGUAGGGAUACCCGCUGAACUUAAGCAUAUCAAUAAGCGGAGGA
rnacentral:misc_RNA from 1 species